CUGCUUGUAGCUUAAUGGAUAAAGCGUUAGUUUGCGGAGCUAAAUAUGAUUGUUCGAUUCAAUCCUAGCAGUUA
rnacentral:tRNA from 1 species